GAUGAACGCUGGCGGCGUGCCUAAUACAUGCAAGUCGAGCGAACAGACGAGGAGCUUGCUCCUCUGACGUUAGCGGCGGACGGGUGAGUAACACGUGGAUAACCUACCUAUAAGACUGGGAUAACUUCGGGAAACCGGAGCUAAUACCGGAUAAUAUAUUGAACCGCAUGGUUCAAUAGUGAAAGACGGUUUUGCUGUCACUUAUAGAUGGAUCCGCGCCGCAUUAGCUAGUUGGUAAGGUAACGGCUUACCAAGGCAACGAUGCGUAGCCGACCUGAGAGGGUGGUCGGCCACACUGGGACUGAGGCACGGUCCAGACUCCGACGGGAGGCAGCAGUAGGGAAUCUUCCGCAAUGGGCGAAAGCCUGAAGGAGCAACGCCGCGUGAGUGAUGAAGGUCUGCGGAUCGUAAAACUCUGUUAUUAGGGAAGAACAAAUGUGUAAGUAACUAUGCACGUCUUGACGGUACCUAAACAGAAAGCCACGGCUAACUACGUG
rnacentral:rRNA from 1 species